GCUCGGCCAGGCCGCCGCCGCCAUGGCCACCAUCGCCCCCGUGGCCAUCGUCACCCCCGAGCGCUAGGACCGCGCGAGGAGCACCGCCUCCGUCCGUAGCUUCGUCCUCACCCACGGGAGCAAGCCCGGAGUCAGCACUGCGCCGGCUCAGCCUCUUCUUCCUCCUCGGGCGCCGCCGCGCUUAGUCACCGAUUCUGGCGCCGCUAGGCCUCCCCGAGCUCGCUAUGCUCAACUACGAGACCGUUGUGGAUUAGGGAUCCCGAGUGACCCCUUAGUCCCAGUUGCCGCUGCUUGAUCAUCGAAGACUCGACGACAUGAAGACACGGAGGCCCGAAGAUUCAAUCAACCAAUCGACAAGCCAUGACCCGUCACAUCACUUCACACCCCCUAUUGUAUGACCCUGCAGAGCUACUAUCAAGCACAGAGGGUGAUACCUCAUAAUGUACUUCUAAUGUUAACUCUGUAGUGUAGUUAACUGGAGGUG